rnacentral:rRNA from 1 species
AGGUCACUGGGCCGCAACUGACGCUGAGGAGCGAAAGCAUGGGGAGCGAACAGGAUUAGAUACCCUGGUAGUCCAUGCCGUAAACGUUGGGCACUAGGUGUGGGGUCCAUUCCACGGAUUCCGUGCCGCAGCAAACGCAUUAAGUGCCCCGCCUGGGGAGUACGGCCGCAAGGCUAAAACUCAAAGAAAUUGACGGGGGCCCGCACAAGCGGCGGAGCAUGCGGAUUAAUUCGAUGCAACGCGAAGAACCUUACCAAGGCUUGACAUACACCGGAAACGUGCAGAGAUGUGCGCCCCGCAAGGUCGGUGUACAGGUGGUGCAUGGUUGUCGUCAGCUCGUGUCGUGAGAUGUUGGGUUAAGUCCCGCAACGAGCGCAACCCUCGUCCCAUGUUGCCAGCGGGUUAUGCCGGGGACUCAUGGGAGACUGCCGGGGUCAACUCGGAGGAAGGUGGGGAUGACGUCAAAUCAUCAUGCCCCUUAUGUCUUGGGCUUCACGCAUGCUACAAUGGCCGGUACAAAGGGGUGCGAUACCGCGAGGUGGAGCGAAUCCCAAAAAGCCGGUUUCAGUUCGGAUUGGGGUCUGCAACU